GCCCGGUUAGCUCAAUCGGUAGAGCGUGAACCUUUUCCAAGUACGCAAUCUCAAGUUUGCGGUUUGGACCCCCGCAUCGGGCU